rnacentral:rRNA from 1 species
UUAGUCUUAUAAUUUAAGACUGGAAUGAAAGAGUCUAUAAAAGAGAUUCUUUUUUUAUUAAAAAUCUUAAAUUUUACAUUUUAGUAAAAAGGCUAAAAUAAAUUUUAUAGACAAGAAGACCCUAUAAAUCUUUACAUAUUUAAAUUCAAAUUAUCUAAAAUAUGUUUGGCUGGGGCGGCAGAAAAUUAAUCAUUUUUAGAUUCUUGUAAUUUUUUUAUAUCCAGAAAUUCUGAAAAUAAAACAAGUUACUUUAGGGAUAACAGCGUUAUAUAUUUAAAAAGUUCAAAUUGACAAAUAUGUUUGCGACCUCGAUGUUGGAUUAAAUUACCUUUAAUCUGUGCAAAAGCAGUAAU